rnacentral:sRNA from 1 species
CUUGGUCAUUUAGAGGAAGUAAAAGUCGUAACAAGGUCUCCGUUGGUGAACCAGCGGAGGGAUCAUUACCGAGUUUACAACUCCCAAACCCCUGUGAACAUACCAUAUGUUGCCUCGGCGGAUCAGCCCGUCCUUCGGGACGGCCCGCCGCAGGACCCUAAACUCUGUUUUUAGUGGAACUUCUGAGUAAAAAAACAAAUAAAUCAAAACUUUCAACAACGGAUCUCUUGGUUCUGGCAUCGAUGAAGAACGCAGCAAAAUGCGAUAAGUAAUGUGAAUUGCAGAAUUCAGUGAAUCAUCGAAUCUUUGAACGCACAUUGCGCCCGCCAGUAUUCUGGCGGGCAUGCCUGUUCGAGCGUCAUUUCAACCCUCAAGCCCAGCUUGGUGUUGGGACUUGCGUUAAUUCGCAUUCCCCAAAUUGAUUGGCGGUCACGUCGAGCUUCCAUAGCGUAGUAAUUUACACAUCGUUACUGGUAAUCGUCGCGGCCACGCCGUUAAACCCCAACUUCUGAAUGUUGACCUCGGAUCAGGUAGGAAUACCCGCUGAACUUAAGCAUAUCAAUAAGCGGAGGAAAAGAAACCAACAGGGAUUGCCCUAGUAACGGCGAGUGAAGCGGCAACAGCUCAAAUUUGAAAUCUGGCUCUCGGGCCCGAGUUGUAAUUUGUAGAGGAUGACUUUGAUGCGGUGCCUUCCGAGUUCCCUGGAACGGGACGCCAUAGAGGGUGAGAGCCCCGUCUGGUUGGAUGCCAAAUCUCUGUAAGUCUCCUUCGACGAGUCGAGUUGUUUGGGAAU